UCACUGAUAACAUCUCUCUGACCGGCCGGAUAUCUCUGUUGUGAUUUUUCGGUGUUGCGUUAAAUAGUAAUUCAUAGAACAAAUAAACAGAACAUCAUAACAAUUAAGGAUAGGAAAAAGGUGUGAAACUGUACCUUAACAGGAGUAAGUACUGUGAUAGGAGAAGUCACACACAGGAAUACUUUGAUUGUCAACGAUGAUCAUUGGCGAGUAUCUUGAUAAUUUGAUCGAAUCUUGAUAAGCUUACGUCGCCUACAAUCGUUUUCUUUUAAAGCUUUGCAUAACUCAAGAUGAGAGAUUAUUAAAAAAAUACUAUUAUGACAAUUAUUAUUAAGGGUGUAUAUCGGUAAAAUUGAGUAAAAAUUUAAUAAAAUAGAAUCUUACGUA